rnacentral:rRNA from 1 species
CAAUAGCGUAUAUUAAAGUUGUUGCAGUUAGAACGCUCGUAGUCGGAUUUCGGGGCGGGCCGACCGGUCUGCCGAUGGGUACGCACUGGUCGGCGCGUCCUUCCUUCCGGAGACCGUGCCUACUCUUAACUGAGCGGGGGCGGGAGACGGAUCGUUUACUUUGAAAAAAUCAGAGUGUUUCAAGCAGGCAGCUCGCUCCUGCAUGGAUUAGCAUGGGAUAAUGAAAUAGGACUUUGGUGCUAUUUUGUUGGUUUCGAACACCGAAGUAAUGAUUAAAAGGGACAGUCAGGGGCACUCGUAUUCCGCCGAGAGAGGUGAAAUUCUCAGACCAGCGGAAGACGAACUACUGCGAAAGCAUUUGCCAGGGAUGUUUUCACUGA